AACGAACGCUGGCGGCAGGCUUAACACAUGCAAGUCGAACGCCCCGCAAGGGGAGUGGCAGACGGGUGAGUAACGCGUGGGAAUCUACCCAGUUCUACGGAACAACAGUUGGAAACGACUGCUAAUACCGUAUACGCCCUACGGGGGAAAGAUUUAUCGGAAUUGGAUGAGCCCGCGUAAGAUUAGCUAGUUGGUGGGGUAAUGGCCUACCAAGGCGACGAUCUUUAGCUGGUCUGAGAGGAUGAUCAGCCACACUGGGACUGAGACACGGCCCAGACUCCUACGGGAGGCAGCAGUGGGGAAUAUUGGACAAUGGGCGCAAGCCUGAUCCAGCCAUGCCGCGUGAGUGAUGAAGGCCUUAGGGUUGUAAAGCUCUUUCAUCGAUGAAGAUAAUGACAGUAGUCGGAGAAGAAGCCCCGGCUAACUUCGUGCCAGCCGCCGCCGUAACAC
rnacentral:rRNA from 1 species